AUGUCCCACGACACCAAAGCCAUGAGGCGGCGUUUCCUUUAGUGCAGGGAAAACUUUUAACCAAGAUGCGAUGGGUCGUGUUAUGUGCAUGGCAACGUGCUUACUUCAAUCCAGGGAAUAUUCGACGACACCAAACCCUUGAAGUGAAAAUGCUCUUCCGAGAUGCAAUGGGUCGUGCGAUGUGGAUGGACAUGGGAUUCUCCCAAUCCCACGGGAUGCCCCACGACACCAAAGCCAUGGUAUGUAAAUAGUGCUGUCAUAAUAGUAAUAAUCAGAGAUAAAUCGAUAAGCAAUUGUGUGACAUCAUCUUUUUUUUUAUUAUAGAGGCAGCGUUUCUCUUAGUGCAGGGGAAACGUUUAACCGAGAUGCGAUGGGUCGUGUUAUGUGCAUGGAAACGUGCUUACUUCAAUCCAGGGAAUAUCCGACGACACCAAACCCUUGAAGUGAAAAUGCUCUUCCGAGAUGCAAUGGGUCGUGCGAUGUGGAUGGACAUGGGAUUCUCCCUAUCCCACGGGAUGCACCACGACACCAAAGCCAUGGUGGCGUUUCUCUUAGUUAAUGGAAACGUGCGUACGUCAAUGCAGGGAAUAUCCGACGACACCAAACCCUUGAAAUGAAAAUGCUCUUCCGAGAUGCAAUGGGUCGUGCGAUGUAGAUGGACAUGGGAUUCUCCCAAACCCACGGGAUGCCCCACGACACCAAAGCCAUGGUAUGUAAAUAGUGCUGUCAUAAUAGUAAUAAUCAGAGAUAAAUCGAUAAGCAAUUGUGUGACAUCAUCUUUUUUUAUUAUAGAGGCGGCGUUUUCCUCAGUGCAGGGGAAACGUUUAACCGAGAUGCGAUGGGUCGUGUUAUGUGCAUGGAAACGUGCUUACGUCAAUCCAGGGAAUAUCCGACGACGCCAAAUCCUUGAAGUGAAAAUGCCCUUCUGUGAUGCAACGGGUUGUGCGAUGUGGAUGGACAUGGGAUCCUCCCAAUCCCAUUGGAAGCCCCACGACACUAAAGCCAUGGUGGCGUUUCUCUUAGUGCAUGGAAACGUGCGUACGUCAAUCCAGGGAAUAUCCGAC
rnacentral:lncRNA from 1 species